CAAGUCGAACGAGUUCUCGUUGAUGAUCGGUGCUUGCACUGAGAUUCAACACCGUACGAGUGGCGGACGGGUGAGUAACACGUGGGUAACCUGCCCUUAAGUGGGGGAUAACAUUUGGAAACAGAUGCUAAUACCGCAUAGAUCCAAGAACCGCAUGGUUCUUGGCUGAAAGAUGGCGUAAGCUAUCGCUUUUGGAUGGACCCGCGGCGUAUUAGCUAGUUGGUGAGGUAAUGGCUCACCAAGGCGAUGAUACGUAGCCGAACUGAGAGGUUGAUCGGCCACAUUGGGACUGAGACACGGCCCAAACUCCUACGGGAGGCAGCAGUAGGGAAUCUUCCACAAUGGACGCAAGUCUGAUGGAGCAACGCCGCGUGAGUGAAGAAGGCUUUCGGGUCGUAAAACUCUGUUGUUGGAGAAGAAUGGUCGGCAGAGUAACUGUUGUCGGCGUGACGGUAUCCAACCAGAAAGCCACGGCUAACUACGUGCCAGCAGCCGCGGUAAUACGUAGGUGGCAAGCGUUAUCCGGAUUUAUUGGGCGUAAAGCGAGCGCAGGCGGUUUUUUAAGUCUGAUGUGAAAGCCCUCGGCUUAACCGAGGAAGCGCAUCGGAAACUGGGAAACUUGAGUGCAGAAGAGGACAGUGGAACUCCAUGUGUAGCGGUGAAAUGCGUAGAUAUAUGGAAGAACACCAGUGGCGAAGGCGGCUGUCUGGUCUGUAACUGACGCUGAGGCUCGAAAGCAUGGGUAGCGAACAGGAUUAGAUACCCUGGUAGUCCAUGCCGUAAACGAUGAAUGCUAGGUGUUGGAGG
rnacentral:rRNA from 1 species